rnacentral:rRNA from 1 species
CUACGGGAUGCUCCAGUGGGGAAUAUUGCACAAUGGGCGCAAGCCUGAUGCAGCCAUGCCGCGUGUAUGAAGAAGGCCUUCGGGUUGUAAAGUACUUUCAGCGGGGAGGAAGGGAGUAAAGUUAAUACCUUUGCUCAUUGACGUUACCCGCAGAAGAAGCACCGGCUAAGUCCGUGCCAGCAGCCGCGGUAAUACGGAGGGUGCAAGCGUUAAUCGGAAUUACUGGGCGUAAAGCGCACGCAGGCGGUUUGUUAAGUCAGAUGUGAAAUCCCCGGGCUCAACCUGGGAACUGCAUCUGAUACUGGCAAGCUUGAGUCUCGUAGAGGGGGGUAGAAUUCCAGGUGUAGCGGUGAAAUGCGUAGAGAUCUGGAGGAAUACCGGUGGCGAAGGCGGCCCCCUGGACGAAGACUGACGCUCAGGUGCGAAAGCGUGGGGAGCAAACAGGAUUAGUACCCCCGUAGUC